rnacentral:lncRNA from 1 species
AUGGCUUUGUAUGAGACCACAUGUGGAAAGAAGGCCAAUAGCACUACCUCUUGCCUUACCCAUCUAGUCAAUUGGAUUACUGACUACAGUGAAGGAAGGGAAGGUAUGGAAGUGAAUGCCUAUCCUAAGAGAAGAUACCUCAAAGCUAUCCAAGGUCCCACAACAACUAGAGGCAGCAGUAGAUGGAGACGUCCAGGAAGGAGACCAUGUAGAAGACCUGGCAGAUGGAGUUCAGCAAGAUGCCAGCCCAGCUGAACGAGGGAACCACUCAUUCAUCAACUAUACCACACUCAGAAGGGAAUAUGGUGGUGAUUCCAAGAAGGGAUGAGAAGUAUCCCAAGAAGGGGCUAGGAAGUAUCUCCCCAUGGAGUGGGAAGAGAGGGAAGUUUUGUAACCACAUCAAAUUUCAAUCCAUUCUCCUUAGGAACUAAGUGAAGUAGAAAGUGCAUCUUCUUGCUGAGGGGUGGAGCGUUGUUAGCCAAUGUUGGGGAGAUGCUAAUUAGCUAAAUGAUACUGGAAAAUACAUGUAGAAGCAUCCAGGUGGUGCAAUAAUUUUAGAGUCCAGGACUUAGAGUUAGGAUGUCCUGAGUGAAAUCUAUCCUUAAACCCUUACUAACUGUGUGACUCUGGAUGAAUCAUUUAAACACUGUCUGCCUUAGUUUCCUCAUCUUAGUGCCUCACUAUUCCUUUAAAAAGGUACUAUUUCCUGCUUUCCUGGGGCUUCAAAAGAAGCUUUCCAAAGCCUGAUUCCCUGGAUCAGCAAGAGGGGAGGGUUCAUCAACUGGCUAACCUUUUCCAUGACCUGCCAAUGGGCAUCGUAGAUAGUUCAUGGGUUAAAAACCACAUAGGAGAUGGUCCAGUUCCUUUAACUGAAGAUAAAGAUGAUUAUAAAAUAAGGUGUUAAUAGCCAGUGAUGGCUGGAUGUCCAGUCUGGGGUCUUGCUGUAUGAGUAAGCAACUGUAUAAGUAAGCAAUUGGCUGCCUGGGUAAAUGAGAGAGAGUCU